AACAGGAUUAGAUACCCUGGUAGUCCACGCUGUAAACGAUGAAAACUAGAUGUUGUUGGGCUUAGACCCAUCAGUAUCGAAGCUAACGCGAUAAGUUUUCCGCCUGGGGAGUACGGUCGCAAGAUUAAAACUCAAAGAAAUUGACGGGGGCCCGCACAAGCGGUGGAGCAUGUGGUUUAAUUCGAUGCAACGCGAAGAACCUUACCUACCCUUGACAUCUAAAGAAGACUGCAGAGAUGUGGUUGUGCCGAAAGGAACUUUAAGACAGGUGCUGCAUGGCUGUCGUCAGCUCGUGUUGUGAGAUGUUGGGUUAAGUCCCGUAACGAGCGCAACCCUUAUCCUUAGUUGCCAGCAUUUAGUUGGGGACUCUAAGGAGACUGCCGGUGAUGAACCGGAGGAAGGCGGGGACGACGUCAAGUCAUCAUGGCCUUUAUGGGUAGGGCUACACACGUGCUACAAUGGGCGGUACAGAAGGCAGCAAGCGUGCGAGCGCGAGCGAAUCCCUUAAAGCCGUUCGUAGUCCGGAUCGGAGUCUGCAACUCGACUCCGUGAAGUCGGAAUCGCUAGUAAUCGCGAAUCAGAAUGUCGCGGUGAAUACGUUCCCGGGCCUUGUACACACCGCCCGUCACACCAUGGGAGUGGGUUGUACCAGAAGUAGGUAGUCUAACCGCAAGGGGGACGCUUACCACGGUAUGGUUCAUGACUGGGGUGAAGUCGUAACAAGGUAGCCGUA
rnacentral:rRNA from 1 species